rnacentral:rRNA from 1 species
UCCGCGUGUGUGAAAAGCUCGGUUUGUAAAGCACUUAUGAGGGAAGAACAGCUUGGCACACCAAGCCUUGACGGUACCUCAAGAAUAAGCACCGGCUAACUCUGUGCCACAGCCGCGGUAAUACAGAGGGUGCAAGCGUUAAUCGGAUUUACUGGGCGUAAAGGGUGCGUAGGUGGUUGUAUAAGUCGGAUGUGAAAGCCCGGGGCUUAACCUCGGAACUGCAUUCGAUACUGUAUGACUAGAGUUCGGUACAGGGCGGCGGAAUUUCCGGUGUCAGCGGUGACAUGCGUAGAUAUCGGAAGGAACAUCAAUGGCGAAGGCAGCCGCCUGGGCCUGAACUGACACUGAGGCACGACAGCGUGGGUAGCAAACAGGAUUAGAUACCCUGGUAGUCCACGCUGUACACGAUGAGAACUUGACGUUGGUUCGUCUUACGAAUCGGUGUCGAAGCUAACGCGCUAAGUUCUCCGCCUGCGGAGUACGGCCGAAAGGUUGAAACUCAAAGGAAUCGACGGGGGCCCGU